AAUGGAGUGCCUGAUUAAAGGGUUACCUUGAUAGGGUAAAUCAAGUAACGUUUGGUUACCUCCAUUA
rnacentral:tRNA from 1 species